rnacentral:tRNA from 1 species
GCGGAUGUGGCGGAAUUGGCAGACGCGCAUGGUUCAGGUCCAUGUGAGCGCAAGUUCAUGGGGGUUCAAGUCCCUUCAUCCGCA